rfam:Felis catus isolate Cinnamon breed Abyssinian chromosome E2, whole genome shotgun sequence.
GCCUGGGUAGCUCAGUCGGUUAAGUGUCUGACUUUGGCUCAGGUCAUGAUCUCACCGUUCGUGGGUUCAAGCCCCACGUCGGGCU